rnacentral:rRNA from 1 species
AAGCGACUAAGCGUACACGGUGGAUGCCCUGGCAGUCAGAGGCGAUGAAGGACGUGCUAAUCUGCGAUAAGCGUCGGUAAGGUGAUAUGAACCGUUAUAACCGGCGAUUUCCGAAUGGGGAAACCCAGUGUGAUUCGUCACACUAUCAUUAACUGAAUCCAUAGGUUAAUGAGGCGAACCGGGGGAACUGAAACAUCUAAGUACCCCGAGGAAAAGAAAUCAACCGAGAUUCCCCCAGUAGCGGCGAGCGAACGGGGAGCAGCCCAGAGCCUGAAUCAGUGUGUGUGUUAGUGGAAGCGUCUGGAAAGGCGCGCGAUACAGGGUGACAGCCCCGUACACAAAAAUGCACAUGCUGUGAGCUCGAUGAGUAGGGCGGGACACGUGGUAUCCUGUCUGAAUAUGGGGGGACCAUCCUCCAAGGCUAAAUACUCCUGACUGACCGAUAGUGAACCAGUACCGUGAGGGAAAGGCGAAAAGAACCCCGGCGAGGGGAGUGAAAAAGAACCUGAAACCGUGUACGUACAAGCAGUGGGAGCACAGAGCAAUCUGUGUGACUGCGUACCUUUUGUAUAAUGGGUCAGCGACUUAUAUUCUGUAGCAAGGUUAACCGAAUAGGGGAGCCGAAGGGAAACCGAGUCUUAACUGGGCGUUAAGUUGCAGGGUAUAGACCCGAAACCCGGUGAUCUAGCCAUGGGCAGGUUGAAGGUUGGGUAACACUAACUGGAGGACCGAACCGACUAAUGUUGAAAAAUUAGCGGAUGACUUGUGGCUGGGGGUGAAAGGCCAAUCAAACCGGGAGAUAGCUGGUUCUCCCCGAAAGCUAUUUAGGUAGCGCCUCGUGAAUUCAUCUCCGGGGGUAGAGCACUGUUUCGGCAAGGGGGUCAUCCCGACUUACCAACCCGAUGCAAACUGCGAAUACCGGAGAAUGUUAUCACGGGAGACACACGGCGGGUGCUAACGUCCGUCGUGAAGAGGGAAACAACCCAGACCGCCAGCUAAGGUCCCAAAGUCAUGGUUAAGUGGGAAACGAUGUGGGAAGGCCCAGACAGCCAGGAUGUUGGCUUAGAAGCAGCCAUCAUUUAAAGAAAGCGUAAUAGCUCACUGGUCGAGUCGGCCUGCGCGGAAGAUGUAACGGGGCUAAACCAUG